UUAGCACCCAAAAACCCAAAGAUCAUGUCACAGAAUGCCAUGAUCUUGCCUGGUGUGCUUAAAUAAAUUUUUUGUGCCUUGUCGCCUUUCGGAAGCUGGUGUGCUCUCGAAAGUGAAUUCAAGGUCCCACAAUU
ensembl:snoRNA